rnacentral:rRNA from 1 species
GAUGAACGCUAGCGGCAGGCUUAAUACAUGCAAGUCGAGGGGCAGCGCAGUGUAGCAAUACAUGGGCGGCGACCGGCAAACGGGUGCGUAACACGUACGCAACCUUCCCGUUACUGUGGGAUAGCCCAGGGAAACUUGGAUUAAUACCACAUAUUGCCAUUGAGAGGCAUCUCUUGAUGGCCAAAGAAUUUCGGUAACGGAUGGGCGUGCGGUUGAUUAGGUAGUUGGCGGGGUAACGGCCCACCAAGCCUACGAUCAAUAGCUGAUGUGAGAGCAUGAUCAGCCACACGGGCACUGAGACACGGGCCCGACUCCUACGGGAGGCAGCAGUAAGGAAUAUUGGGCAAUGGACGAAAGUCUGACCCAGCCAUGCCGCGUGAAGGAUGAAGGUCCUCUGGAUUGUAAACUUCUUUUGUACGGGAAGAAACACUCCUUCGUGAAGGAGCUUGACGGUACCGUAAGAAUAAGGAUCGGCUAACUCCGUGCCAGCAGCCG